ACAGUUAAAAGAGCAGGUCCACUGCUUGG
rnacentral:piRNA from 1 species